rnacentral:rRNA from 1 species
AACGAACGCUGGCGGCAGGCUUAACACAUGCAAGUCGAACGCCCCGCAAGGGGAGUGGCAGACGGGUGAGUAACGCGUGGGAAUCUACCGUACCCUACGGAAUAACGCAUGGAAACGUGUGCUAAUACCGUAUACGCCCUUAGGGGGAAAGAUUUAUCGGGGUAUGAUGAGCCCGCGUUGGAUCAGCUAGUUGGUGGGGU